rnacentral:rRNA from 1 species
AGCAGCCGCGGUAAUUCCAGCUCCAAUAGCGUAUAUUAAAGUUGUUGCAGUUAAAAAGCUCGUAGUUGAAUUUCGGGGUCAGUAGGCUGGUCGUGCCACAGGUACGCACUGGUCUCACUGAUUCCUCCUUCCUGAUGAACCGUAAUGCCAUUAAUUUGGUGUUGCGGGGAGACUGGACUGUUACUUUGAAAAAUUAGAGUGUUUAAAGCAGGCUAACGCUUGAAUACAUUAGCAUGGAAUAAUGAAAUAGGACGUUCGAUCCUAUUUUGUUGGUUUCUAGGAUUGACGUAAUGAUUAAUAGGGAUAGUUGGGGGCAUUAGUAUUCAAUUGUCAGAGGUGAAAUUCUUGGAUUUAUUGAAGACUAACUACUGCGAAAGCAUUUGCCAAGGAUGUUUUCAUUAAUCAAGAACGAAAGUUAGGGGAUCGAAGACGAUCAGAUACCGUCGUAGUCUUAACCAUAAACUAUGCCG